AUGGCCUGGCUCUCUCUCCUGUUCCCCCUCAUCUCUUUCUGCACAGGUUCCAUAGCCUCCUAUGUACUGACUCAACCUUCUUCACUAUCAGUGGCCUUAGGUCAAACGGCCACUAUAACCUGCUCUGGAGAUAAACUCUCAGAUAAAUCUGUUCACUGGUACCAGCAGAAGGAAGGCCAUGCCCCUGUGCUGGUCAUAUAUAAUGAUAAUAUACGCCCCAAUGGCAUCCCAGACAAAUUUUCUGGCUCCAACUCAGGGAACAAGGCCACCUUGACUAUCAGCAAAGUCCAGGCUGAAGAUGAAGCUGACUACUACUGUCAGUGUUGGGAUAGCACAAGUAGUGCUCACAGUAACACGUGCAGAUGA